rnacentral:rRNA from 1 species
CUACGGAGGGUGCAAGCGUUAUUCGGAAUCACUGGGCGUAAAGGACGCGUAGGCGGGUUGGCAAGUCAGAUGUGAAAUCCUACAGCUUAACUGUAGAACUGCAUUUGAAACUGCUAACCUAGAGUAUGGGAGGGGGAGAUGGAAUUAGUGGUGUAGGGGUAAAAUCCGUAGAUAUCACUAGGAAUACCGAAAGCGAAGGCGAUCUCCUGGAACAUAGCUGACGCUAAGGCGUGAAAGCGUGGGGAGCAAACAGGAUUAGAAACCCUAGUAGUCC